rnacentral:rRNA from 1 species
UACGUAGGCAGCGAGCGUUGUUCGGAGUUACUGGGCGUAAAGAGCUCGUAGGCGGUCUGUCGCGUCGGAUGUGAAAACCCAGGGCUCAACCCUGGGCCUGCAUUCGAUACGGGCAGACUAGAGUAUGGCAGGGGAGACUGGAAUUCCUGGUGUAGCGGUGAAAUGCGCAGAUAUCAGGAGGAACACCGGUGGCGAAGGCGGGUCUCUGGGCCAAAACUGACGCUGAGGAGCGAAAGCGUGGGGAGCGAACAGG